rnacentral:piRNA from 1 species
UGCCAAAAGAAGUGAUGGCCUGCACC